UACGUAGGUGGCAAGCGUUGUCCGGAAUUAUUGGGCGUAAAGCGCGCGCAGGCGGUCCUUUAAGUCUGAUGUGAAAGCCCACGGCUCAACCGUGGAGGGUCAUUGGAAACUGGGGGACUUGAGUGCAGAAGAGAAGAGUGGAAUUCCACGUGUAGCGGUGAAAUGCGUAGAUAUGUGGAGGAACACCAGUGGGCGAAGGCGGCUCGCUGGGCCAUUCCUGACGCUGAGACGCGAAAGCUAGGGGAGCGAACAGG
rnacentral:rRNA from 1 species